AGGAAAAGAAACCAACAGGGAUUGCCUUAGUAACGGCGAGUGAAGCGGCAAAAGCUCAAAUUUGAAAUCUGGCACCUUCGGUGUCCGAGUUGUAAUUUGAAGAAGGUAACUUUGGAGUUGGCUCUUGUCUAUGUUCCUUGGAACAGGACGUCACAGAGGGUGAGAAUCCCGUGCGAUGAGAUGCCCAAUUCUAUGUAAAGUGCUUUCGAAGAGUCGAGUUGUUUGGGAAUGCAGCUCUAAGUGGGUGGUAAAUUCCAUCUAAAGCUAAAUAUUGGCGAGAGACCGAUAGCGAACAAGUACAGUGAUGGAAAGAUGAAAAGAACUUUGAAAAGAGAGUGAAAAAGUACGUGAAAUUGUUGAAAGGGAAGGGCUUGAGAUCAGACUUGGUAUUUUGCGAUCCUUUCCUUCUUGGUUGGGUUCCUCGCAGCUUACUGGGCCAGCAUCGGUUUGGAUGGUAGGAUAAUGACUAAGGAAUGUGGCUCUACUUCGGUGGAGUGUUAUAGCCUUGGUUGAUACUGCCUGUCUAGACCGAGGACUGCGUCUUUUGACUAGGAUGUUGGCAUAAUGAUCUUAAGCCACCCGUCU
rnacentral:rRNA from 1 species